CAGUCGCCACGGUAAUACGUAGGUGGCAAGCGUUGUCCGGAAUUAUUGGGCGUAAAGGGCUCGCAGGCGGUUUCUUAAGUCUGAUGUGAAAGCCCCCGGCUCAACCGGGGAGGGUCAUUGGAAACUGGGAAACUUGAGUGCAGAAGAGGAGAGUGGAAUUCCACGUGUAGUGGUGAAAUGCGUAGAGAUGUGGAGGAACACCAGUGGCGAAGGCGACUCUCUGGUCUGUAACUGACGCUGAGGAGCGAAGGCGUGGGGAGCGAACAGGAUUAGAGACCCCAGUAGUCCCUGUCUCUUAUAC
rnacentral:rRNA from 1 species